GAUGAACGCUGGCGGCGUGCCUAAUACAUGCAAGUCGAGCGAACAGACGAGGAGCUUGCUCCUCUGACGUUAGCGGCGGACGGGUGAGUAACACGUGGAUAACCUACCUAUAAGACUGGGAUAACUUCGGGAAACCGGAGCUAAUACCGGAUAAUAUAUUGAACCGCAUGGUUCAAUAGUGAAAGACGGUUUUGCUGUCACUUAUAGAUGGAUCCGCGCCGCAUUAGCUAGUUGGUAAGGUAACGGCUUACCAAGGCAACGAUGCGUAGCCGACCUGAGAGGGGGAUCGGCCACACUGGAACUGAGAACCGGUCCAGACUCCUACGGGAGGCAGCAGUAGGGAAUCUUCCGCAAUGGGCGAAAGCUUGACGGAGCAACGCCGCGUGAGUGAUGAAGGUCUUCGGAUCGUAAAACUCUGUUAUUAGGGAAGAACAAAUGUGUAAGUAACUAUGCACGUCUUGACGGUACCUAAUCAGAAAGCCACGGCUAACUACGUG
rnacentral:rRNA from 1 species